GGCCUCCCAAAGCUUACAACAGGCUGUGUUCUUUACACUGACUGUAUAAAAAAGGAGGUAUAGUAAAUGCACCCCAUAUACACCUCAGCCUAGGCUCUUUGCCUGGUCUAUAUUAUGAAUGGGGCUACAUAA